GGAUGUGAGGCAAUCUGCAUAUGACAUCUGUCACCCGAUUGAUUGCCAGGGUUGAUUUAGCUGACUUGGCUGGCUAGGAGGGUGUCCCCUUCCUCACUGCUCCUUGUUUACCCCCUCCCUGCCCCCUGAAGCUGCAUGCUUGGCUGAAGAGGACGACCAUCCCUGAUAGAGGAGGCCCUGUCUUCAGCCAAGGGUGUACGAGCAGCUAGAACCUACAAACAAACUCUCAAGCACAGUUUCUUCCUUGAGACGGUCUCAGUCAAUGUGGGCUACCUUGACUGAGUCCAGCUUGGAGGCUGGACAGAGGGAUCA
ensembl:misc_RNA 7SK 7SK RNA